rnacentral:rRNA from 1 species
AUGAACGCUAGCUACAGGCUUAACACAUGCAAGUCGAGGGGCAGCAUGGUCUUAGCUUGCUAAGGCCGAUGGCGACCGGCGCACGGGUGAGUAACACGUAUCCAACCUGCCGUCUACUCUUGGACAGCCUUCUGAAAGGAAGAUUAAUACAAGAUGGCAUCAUGAGUCCACAUGUUCACAUGAUUAAAGGUAUUCCGGUAGACGAUGGGGAUGCGUUCCAUUAGAUAGUAGGCGGGGUAACGGCCCACCUAGUCUUCGAUGGAUAGGGGUUCUGAGAGGAAGGUCCCCCACAUUGGAACUGAGACACGGUCCAAACUCCUACGGGAGGCAGCAGUGAGGAAUAUUGGUCAAUGGGCGAGAGCCUGAACCAGCCAAGUAGCGUGAAGGAUGACUGCCCUAUGGGUUGUAAACUUCUUUUGUAAAGGAAUAAAGUCGGGUAUGGAUACCCGUUUGCAUGUACUUUAUGAAUAAGGAUCGGCUAACUCCGUGCCAGCAGCCGCGGUAAUACGGAGGGUCCGAGCGUUAUCCGGAUUUAUUGGGUUUAAAGGGAGCGUAGAUGGAUGUUUAAGUCAGUUGUGAAAGUUUGCGGCUCAACCGUAAAAUUGCAGUUGAUACUGGAUAUCUUGAGUGCAGUUGAGGCAGGCGGAAUUCGUGGUGUAGCGGUGAAAUGCUUAGAUAUCACGAAGAACUCCGAUUGCGAAGGCAGCCUGCUAAGCUGCAACUGACAUUGAGGCUCGAAAGUGUGGGUAUCAAACAGGAUUAGAUACCCUGGUAGUCCACACGGUAAACGAUGAAUACUCGCUGUUUGCGAUAUACGGCAAGCGGCCAAGCGAAAGCGUUAAGUAUUCCACCUGGGGAGUACGCCGGCAACGGUGAAACUCAAAGGAAUUGACGGGGGCCCGCACAAGCAGUGGAGUAUGUGGUUUAAUUCGAAGCAACGCGAAGAACCUUACCAAGUCUUGACAUCCUGCGACGGUGCUGGAAACAGUACUUUCCUUCGGGACGCAGAGACAGGUGGUGCAUGGUUGUCGUCAGCUCGUGUCGUGAGAUGUUGGGUUAAGUCCCGCAACGAGCGCAACCCUUGUCUUUAGUAGCCAGCAGUUCGGCUGGGCACUCUAGAGAGACUGCCAGGGAUAACCUGGAGGAAGGUGGGGAUGACGUCAAAUCAUCAUGCCCCUUAUGACCUGGGCUACACACGUGCUACAAUGGCGCAUACAAAGAGAAGCGACCUCGCGAGAGCAAGCGGACCUCAUAAAGUGCGUCGUAGUCCGGAUUGGAGUCUGCAACUCGACUCCAUGAAGUCGGAAUCGCUAGUAAUCGUGGAUCAGAAUGCCACGGUGAAUACGUUCCCGGGCCUUGUACACACCGCCCGUCACACCAUGAGAGUUGGGGAUACCCGAAGCCUGUGAGCCAACAGUUAAAUGAGGCAGCAGUCGAAGGUAGAAUCAAUGAUUGGGGUG